rnacentral:rRNA from 1 species
GUCUUUUUGAAUUAAAUUUAAAGUCUAACCUGCCCACUGAAAAUUUUAAAUGGCCGCAGUAUUCUAACUGUGCAAAGGUAGCAUAAUCAUUAGUCUUUUAAUUGAAGGCUGGAAUGAAUGGUUGGACGAAAUAUUAACUGUUUCAUUUAAAUUUUUUAUAGAAUUUUAUUUUUUAGUCAAAAAGCUAAAAUUUAUUUAAAAGACGAGAAGACCCUAUAAAUCUUUAUAUUUUGUUUAUUUUAGUUAUAAAGAUUAUUUUUAUUAUAAUAAAUCGAAAUAUUUUAUUGGGGUGAUAUUAAAAUUUAAAAAACUUUUAAUUUUUAAAACCAUUAAUAUAUGAAUAAUUGAUCCAUUAAUAAUGAUUAUAAAUUUAAGUUACUUUAGGGAUAACAGCGUAAUUUUUUUGGAGAGUUCAUAUCGAUAAAAAAGAUUGCGACCUCGAUGUUGGAUUAAGAUAUAAUUUUGGGUGUAGCCGUUCAAAUUUUAAGUCUGUUCGACUUUUAAAUUCUU